rnacentral:rRNA from 1 species
CUGAUCUAGCCAUGCCGCGUGUGUGAUGAAGGCCCUAGGGUCGUAAAGCACUUUCGCCAGAGAUGAUAAUGACAGUAUCUGGUAAAGAAACCCCGGCUAACUCCGUGCCAGCAGCCGCGGUAAUACGGAGGGGGUUAGCGUUGUUCGGAAUUACUGGGCGUAAAGCGCACGUAGGCGGAUUAGUAAGUUAGAGGUGAAAUCCCAGGGCUCAACCCUGGAACUGCCUUUAAUACUGCUAGUCUUGAGUUCGAGAGAGGUAAGUGGAAUUCCGAGUGUAGAGGUGAAAUUCGUAGAUAUUUGGAGGAACACCAGUGGCGAAGGCGGCUCACUGGCUCGAUACUGACGCUGAGGUACGAAAGUGUGGGGAGCAAACAGGAUUAGAUACCCUGGUAGUCCACACCGUAAACGAUGAAUGCCAGACGUCAGCAAGCAUGCUUGUUGGUGUCACACCUAACGGAUUAAGCAUUCCGCCUGGGGAGUACGGUCGCAAGAUUAAAACUCAGAGGAAUUGACGGGGGCCCGCACAAGCGGUGGAGCAUGUGGUUUAAUUCGACGCAACGCGCAGAACCUUACCAACCCUUGACAUACUUGUCGCGGAUUCCAGAGAUGGAUUCCUUCAGUUCGGCUGGACAAUGUACAGGUGCUGCAUGGCUGUCGUCAGCUCGUGUCGUGAGAUGUUCGGUUAAGUCCGGCAACGAGCGCAACCCACGUCCUUAGUUACCAGCAUUUAGUUGGGUACCCUAAGGAGACUGCCGGUGAUAAGCCGGAGGAAGGUGUGGACGACGUCAAGUCAUCAUGGCCCUUACGGGUUGGGCUACACACGUGCUACAAUG